rnacentral:lncRNA from 1 species
UGUGGAGGCCAGCAAGUCCACACUUUGUAGGGUGGAUGGCAGGCUGGAGACCCAGGGAAGAGUGGAUGUUGCAGCUUGAGUUUGAAGGCAGACUGCUGGAAGAAUUCCCUCAUCUUUGGGAAGGGCCCUUCAUGGCUGGUUAGAGGAAAAUUAUCCAAAGCUGCGACCUAACUGGUAAAAAAUGGCUGCAUAUGUAGGAGUCACCUUGUCUGAAUCACAAGGCAUGGGAGUAAAUGAAUCAGGACACAGGGAGAAGAAACAGCAACUGACUUUGCCGGCUGUUCACUCACAUCAUCUCAUUUAAUCUGCACAGCUGCCAAAUCAGGGUGUUUUUGGAUGAGCUUGGCAUUAAACUUUGAGUAAAAGAGAUUGCCCUGCUUAAUGUGAAUCAACCUAACUCAGUUGGUGCAAAGUCUGGAUAGAACAAAAAGAAUGAGCUCCCUGAGCAAGAGAGGAUUCUCCAGCAGACUGCCUUCAGAUUUCAUAUGCACAAUUUGCUCUCCUGGGUGUCCACCUGCUAGCCUUCCAAUGGGAACUUUACCAUCAGCUCUCCUGGGUCUCAAGCUGCUGGCCCACACUGCAAAUGCUGGACUCACCAACCUCAAUAAUCAUGGGAUCCAAGUCUUUAAAAUAAAUCUAUUUCUAUAAAUAUGCAUAUUGUAUUGAUUCUGUUUCUCUCAAGAACCCUAACAUUAAUCUUAACAGAAUUAGAGGAAAGGAUUUAGGGAUCAGCAGGGAAGUGCAAUAAGGGAGGAAAGUAGAUAAUAGCAUCUGAUGACACAGUUUUUGUUUUGCUAUAUAGAGGUGGCAGCCUGAACAACUUCAAAGCAACAAUGAGGAACAAGGAAGGCACUUCUAACACCUGCAGGCCCAGUGGUAGUUGGAUAGAAACAGCAUCUACUUGGGAGAGAGAAAGGGAAGGAAAUGAAAUGCACAUCUGGGAAGAUGAUCCAGGGGAUACUGCUGAUGAUCAACCUUCACAGCCCUCAUAGGGAAAAGGAAAGGUGGGAGACAGGGUCAGACGAAGGAGUGUACAUAGGUGAGUGGGGAUCAGAGUCCAAGGGAAUGCAGGGUGAUCUAGGAGACCUGGGAUUCUUGUGGAAAUUAAUGAACUAAGAUUAAAGGAAUGAUAACAUUGGCCCUGAUGGUACCAAGGCAGAUGGUGUCUGCAAGCUUUGAUGACUGGGAUAGGAGAGAGGAAUGAAGCUUUUCCAAGAGUUGAGAGAGUUCAGGGGACCACCUUUGUUAACUCCUGCUGAACAGUGGGAACUCUUCCAACUUCUAUGCUAAUCGCCAUCCAUGUUGUCAUUUUAAAUGCUUCAAAACAAAGUUUUCCAAAAUGUGCAUAUAUUUUAAUUUCUAGUAACUCAUUUAGAAGGCACAAAAUUUAUAUUUGAUCUGCAAGUUCUAGAAUCAUUCUGUGACUGCAGGAAGGUCAUCUCAUUUUGCAGUGAACAUAAAUAAUUGAAAUUUGAUCUAAGUGUUUUUACCUGUUCAUUCAGUUUCAGGUGACUACUGGAAGCAUGAAUUUUUUUUUUUUUUUUUUUUGGUAGGGGAAAGUUCUUUGUAAUGGACCUAGUGCUGCAGGGCAACUGCUCUUGCGCUGACUGGAAAAGGCCUGCCUGGAUCAGUAUCUGUGCUUAGAAAAAAAGUGGGUGACAAUUCCCUUAUCAUCCAGGAGUCCCUUGAGCCCCCACCUCCAGUCAAUUACUAGUAGAUAGAUGGCAUUUAUUUGUUGACUGAUUUAUUGGAAAGCAGACUAUUAAAAAUA